AGUCGUGCGAGAAAGUACCUUCGGGUGCGAGUAGAGCGGCGGACGGGUGAGUAACGCGUAGGAAUCUACCUAGUAGAAGGGGAUAGCCCGGGGAAACUCGGAUUAAUACCGUAUACCUCCUCAGGGAGAAAGAGGGCUUAGCUUUGAUGCUCUCGCUAUUAGAUGAGCCUGCGUAAGAUUAGCUUGUUGGUGAGGUAAUGGCUCACCAAGGCGACGAUCUUUAGCUGGUCUGAGAGGACGAUCAGCCACAUUGGGACUGAGACACGGCCCAGACUCCUACGGGAGGCAGCAGUGGGGAAUAUUGGACAAUGGGCGCAAGCCUGAUCCAGCCAUACCGCGUGUGUGAAGAAGGCUUUCGGGUUGUAAAGCACUUUAAGUAAGGAGAAAAAGAUUGUAGUUAAUACCUGCAAUCCGUGAUGUUACUUACAGAAUAAGGACCGGCUAAUUCCGUGCCAGCAGCCGCGGUAAUACGGAAGGUCCAAGCGUUAAUCGGAAAUACUGGGCGUAAAGCGCGCGUAGGUGGUUUUUUAAGUUGGAUGUGAAAGCCCUGGGCUCAACCUAGGAACUGCAUCCAAAACUAGAUGACUAGAGUACGAAAGAGGGAGGUAGAAUUCACAGUGUAGCGGUGGAAUGCGUAGAUAUUGUGAAGAAUACCAAUGGCGAAGGCAGCCUCCUGGUUCUGUACUGACACUAAGGUGCGAAAGCGUGGGUAGCGAACAGGAUUAGAUACCCUGGUAGUCCACGCCGUAAACGAUGACAACUAGCUGUUGGGAGACAAGAUCUCUCAGUGGCGCGGCUAACGCUUUAAGUUGUCCGCCUGGGGAGUACGGCCGCAAGGUUAAAACUCAAAUGAAUUGACGGGGACCCGCACAAGCGGUGGAGCAUGUGGUUUAAUUCGAUGCAACGCGAAAACCUUACCUACUCUUGACAUACUUGGAAGCUC
rnacentral:rRNA from 1 species